CCCUUAGAUGUUCUGGGCGGCCCGCGCACUACAAUGGCGCGUUCAUCGAGAACCAAGGUUGAAUUAUUCGAGGUAUUCUUGCAAAACGCGUCUUGAUUGGGAUAGAUCCUUGUAAUUGUUGGUCUUGAACGAGGAAUUCCUUGUAAGCGUGGUUUAUCAUCCCACGUUGAAUGCGUCCCUGCCCUUUGUACACACCGCCCGUCGCUCCUACCGAUGAUUUGUCCGGUGAAGUUCAUGGAGAGCUGUUUCACUGAGAUGUGCUUAAAGCGAGAUGAACCUANCNGUUUAUNGGAAGGAGAANUCGUANCA
rnacentral:rRNA from 1 species